rfam:Candidatus Adlerbacteria bacterium RIFCSPLOWO2_01_FTLL_51_16 rifcsplowo2_01_scaffold_611, whole genome shotgun sequence.
CUAGUAAUCGCGGGUCAGCUAUACCGCGGUGAAUACGUUCUCAAGUCUUGUACUCACCGCCCGUCAACUCAAGGAAGCCGGGAGUGCCCGAAGUUCCCUUAGGGGGACCACGGUAAACUCGGUGACAGGGAGUAAGUCGUAACAAGGCACGGCUAGCGGAAGCUGGUCGUGGAAUAAUUCAAAU